CCUACGUGUGGCAGCAGUAGGGAAUCUUCCACAAUGGGCGAAAGCCUGAUGGAGCAACGCCGCGUGGGUGAAGAAGGUCUUCGGAUCGUAAAACCCUGUUGUUAGAGAAGAAAGUGCGUGAGAGUAACUGUUCACGUUUCGACGGUAUCUAACCAGCAAGCCACGGCUAACUACGUGCCAGCAGCCGCGGUAAUACGUAGGUGGCAAGCGUUAUCCGGAUUUAUUGGGCGUAAAGGGAACGCAGGCGCUCUUUUAAGUCUGAUGUGAAAGCCUUCGGCUUAACCGGAGUAGUGCAUUGGAAACUGGGAGACGUGAGUGCAGAAGAGGAGAGUGGAACUCCAUGUGUAGCGGUGAAAUGCGUAGAUAUAGGGAAGAACACCAGUGGCGAAAGCGGCUCUCUGGUCUGUAACUGACGCUGAGGUUCGAAAGCGUGGGUAGCAAACAGGAUUAGAUACCCUUGUAGUC
rnacentral:rRNA from 1 species